GUAUAGCUCUAUUGUCGGAGGCAACCCCCAACUGUCGUUUGGCUCCGUUUUCUAUAUUUAUUGCUCUAUGGGCCAGCUCUCUCUUGCCCUCUUUCUCACUUCUUCCUGUCUCUAUCGUCUUGGCUUCCUCAUCCCACUCUUCCGUUUCCUGCCUUCUUCCACUUUGUUUAAAGAAGGAGGGCUGUAGACUACACAAAUCUUCCUCAAGUCCCUUCAAUAUGACACCUAUCUGCUUCCUAGCAUUCUGCCUGUUGUCAGGCAUAGUGCCAUCUUACUGAGGGUGAUGGAAGGUUGACAUCAGACAGAGCACCGAGGAUAAGUAGUGUGAUGUCUCAUGGGCCUUGUAGUCCCGUUCCUAGUACUAUGGUGGCAGACGAAGAGGAAAACUUGGGUUUCCCACCGAUUCAGCCAGAAUCGGAGCCCUUGCACCUGGAGGAUGUUUGCCCUCAAGAAGUCAGCCAAACAAGCCUUGGGCAGAAUUCUCCCCCGUUUUCUCGAAGAGACAAUUAUAAUAGAGAUAGAGGAAAUAGGGAGGCGAAUCGCCGGAGCGCCAGAAUUGCAGCCAAACAAUUAGCUGAUUAGGUUUGCUUCCCUUGGGAAAUUCUAAGGAGUCAUGCAUCUGGACAAAGUUGGGUUUCUCUUCUAGUUCUCCAGGGAAAGUGGUUUUCUGGCGGGAAACGAGACCCUAUUUAGGUGUUUUGCCGCAAAGGAAACCUUGCGGAGUCAACUCGUCAGCUUGUGGAGUGAGAUCGUGUGUGGACUACGCAACUCCAGUUCCUUGUUUCCAAGACCAAGUUCCAAGCCUGCCUUGUUUCCCGGACCUCGCCACGGACCCUGUUCUUGUUCCUUGUUGCCUCGUAUCAAGCCUUGUUUGCCAAGAAUCUAGUUUGUUUCCAGCCUUGUUUACAAGCUCUAUGGACUAAAGGACCUUGUUUUUUCCCCACACUUUGCUUGGCAAAGUGUGUGUUUCGGUUAUUGGAUAUAACUUUGGACCUUAAUAUCACAUAUUGGACAUUAUUUUCCUGGACUAUAUUUGACCUUUCCUGAAAGGUCUAUUUCUGAACUUUAUUCUUCACUUGUUUUUAUUGACUUUAUAUAUUCCUAUAAUAAAGAUAUUAGAUAGAA